GCUAGUCGCACGAGUUCAGACUCGUGGCGAAUAGCUCAGUAACACGUGGCCAAACUACCCUUCGGAACACAAUACCCUCGGGAAACUGAGGCUAAUAGUGUAUACCAUACCACCACUGGAAUGAGUGGUAUGCCAAACGCUCCGGCGCCGAAGGAUGUGGCUGCGGCCGAUUAGGUAGACGGUGGGGUAACGGCCCACCGUGCCAAUAAUCGGUAUGGGUCAUGAGAGUGAGAACCCAGAGACGGAAUCUGAGACAAGAUUCCGGGCCCUACGGGGCGCAGCAGGCGCGAAACCUUUACACUGCACGACAGUGCGAUAGGGGGAUCCCAAGUGCACAGGCAUAGCGCCUGUGCUUUUCGGUACCCUAAGGCGGUACCAGAAUAAGGGCUGGGCAAGACCGGUGCCAGCCGCCGCGGUAAUACCGGCAGCCCAAGUGAUGGCCGAUCUUAUUGGGCCUAAAGCGUCCGUAGCUGGCCGCGCAAGUCCAUCGGGAAAUCCACCUGCUCAACAGGUGGGCGCCCGGUAGAAACUGCGUGGCUUGGGACCGGAAGGCGCGACGGGUACGUCCGGGGU
rnacentral:rRNA from 2 species